UCCUGAGAGCCAAUAAAGCUGUGAGUUUUUUCAUUACACCAAAUGCAGCUCUACGGGCGAUCAAUCAAUGGGUAGUCUUCGGAUAAUCUGUGAGAGUGAGAAAUCUAAUAAAGCUAGCGACUAAAAAAGGAAAACAAAAUCUAUUUUUCUCUUAGGUUAACUACGUCAGGAUUAAUGUGUUCCACUUCUGCUGCCUGAGAAAAUGGAGAAAUUAAGUCCUUUCCAUGGAUCAUUCCUUCUGUAAACAGAGAUCACAAAGCAAGAGCUUCAGCAUCCUCGUGAAAAAGACAUUUUGUUCUGGGUGUCAUCAUCUCCUUCCACUACAGCUUGCAAUUGGAACAAGCUUCACAUCCUGGGGGUGCUGCCUAUCUCUGUCUUGAUUUCUGUCUGUCUAUUCCUCCCAUUGACAGGAAUGUCGUUUGUAUCCUCCACGCAGCAGUUUGCAGAAAUCCAGCAAGGUUUAUGGUUUAUGUUGCCCAGCAUGUAUAAACACAACGCUCUCAAAUGCUUUUUAAAAAUCUAUGAAUUUGUUAGAUGUCUUCACAUCCUGGUCCUCCUACCCCAAUUCUCAAACACAAAGUACUCUGUUGCCCUAUUAUAGUCCUGCGAUAGUUCUGGCUAGGAUUAGGUUGACGGUCUAAGCCCCAAGAAAGGCCUGGCAUUUUCAUAGCAGGCUUUCCCCAGUGCUUUGAGUCUUCCUCUCUCACUCCCUUUUUCUUUUUCCCUCGGAGGAGGGGGUGUUGGGGGUGGGAGGUGAUUAGUAAAUGUUUCAGGUAAUCUGUGAAUUCUUAAUAGUCAUAUUUCCGUGGUGGAAGAUCUCCCUAUUUCUCUGAUGUGACAGGUUACAGAAACCUUGGUGUUGGGGGUUUUACAGAUAUUUACAAGUUCUAGGAGUUUGAACUUUGGGUCAAGAUGUUGAUUCCUUUUAAUGUGCGAGGGUGAAGGAGGUUUUAUUUUGCUUUAUUCUUUUGGAUAUUAUGAGAUGAGAUUGUAUCCAGUCUUGGCUGUAACCUAUACCAUAAAUGCAGAGCUGCAACCAUUAUUUCUGUCUCUUUCUCCUUUUAUCACCUACACUUCUAGAGAUAUUACUUUCAGUUUUAUUGCAAAUCAUCUGUGUCUUUAGUUUAAACCAUUAUUUUUCAUAUACCCCAGGCACAUUUCCCUUAUAAUGAGACAAAUUUUAGAUUAUUAAUGUUCCACCUAAAAGGAUACUGUACACUUUUCAUUGCCAAUAUGGGCUUUGAAGCUUAAAUAUCAACAUUUUUAUAGGAAAUUUACCCAUGUCAAAUUUAAAUAUAUUUGCUUAUAUUUCUUGGAAAAAAGAUUUUGGAUAACUAUCAAUUAAGCAGCCAAUUCCAUUUGGGGUGCAGAAAAUUUUGAGCCCCUUGAUAAGAAGGAACAAAAUUUUUCCUCUAAAUAACCAACUCUGGAUCAGAAAAACUGAACUUUUCUAAAUAUUUAUUAUUAACAAAACUUUUUUUUGUCUGAUUCCACUAGAAGCAUUCUAUGUUGUGAACACUAUAAAGUUAUCCUAUGUUGUGAACACCAUAAAGUUAUGAGGGAAAAAAUGUCAAAUCUAAAUUUUAUUUAGAAGUAACAUAUUGUUUUUCUGGACUUGCAAUCCAAUUCGAAUGCAUCGUUAGACUUUUCUGUUUUCUUAUGAUUAAACAACAAUGGCUUAAAAUGAUAGCAAGUCAACUGAAAAGUUGCUUUGGAAUAAAACAAAAGUGGGAAUGCCAACUUUCUUUUCUUCUCUAUAACUUCAUUAACAUGGUUGUAUAGACAUUUGCAUGUAAAAUGUAGCUAACAAAAAUUACACAGAAGUAAAUUUAGUCCUCUAGUGCCUACCUCUAUGGUGAAAUCAGACCAUUUGGCAUAGUUUGAAGUCUUCCAAGAAGCCUGGUUUCCACCUGGAAAAUAAAUUACUAAAUUUGAAUGUGUUACUUAUACUAUGGUGAGUUGUCUAUCUGUUACAUUUUAUUUUAGUGCAUAUACUAGAAAUUGUAUUUAGGGUGUUCUAAAAUUGUCAUCUGUCAAGGUAGAGAAUUAUAAUAAUAUAAUUAUACUCAGAAAGCGUUCUGAUUUUAGAUUAUUUUGGCACUGUUACAAAUAUGAUGAAUUUUAAAAAAAUGCAGAAUGUUUAUUACAAAUUCAUAUGUUUAAUUGUCAAAUUCUGAGAUUAAUUUAGAUAAGCUAUAACCAAAGUUUAUUUUCUUUGCAUUUAUUGGUACAUAGUUAAUGCUUAUACACAGGCUUCAGUGUAACACCUAUACACUAUUACAAUAUUUAGCUGUACUUAUUUGCUUUAUCUUUAAAUGGUACUUUGUCCCAAAAUUUUCUGAGUUUGAUAAAUUAUUAAACAUUUAUCAAAUCACUGUUGCAUUCUCUAUUCAUCAAUACAUUCUGUUUUAAAUCAUAAACAGUUUGAUUCUGAGUUAUAAGAAAUAUUUUGAGUAAUCAAAGAUUCUAUGUUGUAUGACAUAAAGCAUAAUAAUGAGAUUAUUGAUGAGAUGUCAUGAUCAGUGAAGACCAUACUCAGUGAAUUUACCCAGAUAAAACUAUGUGUUAUAAUGCCGCAAGUGUACACAGAAGUAGGAGAUAAAGAUGUGCUAUCAUGGCUCAGUAAAAACUCCUCACCACAGCUAGUGACAAGAACAAACAAUGUUUUGUUAAAAUCUGUAGGUUUUUCUUCAUCUCAAAGGAUAGUGCAUUAAUCUCCUAAAGAAAGUAAUUGUUCUCUCUGAAAUGUACAGUAAGUUGAGUUAAACAACUAGAGCAAGUAUGGUUAUGGAAUUUUAUUUUCUCAAGCUCAGAAACUUUUAAAUUUACUACAAUAUACCCAAAUAUGUCUAAUUACUAUACUACCCUUGCAGUGAUUACAAUUUUGAUGUUUGUCAUUUUUUACAUGCUAAAGUGCUUUGUGAAUCCAGGUGAUUAUAUAAUGGAUACCAUCUUCUGUGGGAGUGAAAAGAAGAAAAACUUGAUUCAUACUUAAAGGUGCUAUAUUUGAGGAAUGUGAUGUUAAAAUAUUUUCUCUUAGCACAAGGCAUUUGUUUUAAAGAAUUUAUCUGGAGGACUCAGGACAUUUUCUAUAUAGUAAACUGAAUGAUGAACAUUAUUUAAGGUGAUAAAUGGGAAUAAAUUUUAGAAAGUCAUAUCUCUAGAAAAAUUUACUUGACCAUUGGAUUAAUAGUCUAAGAAGUGAUGGUGAUAGAAUAACAGUAGCGUCUUGGUGAAGCCCUUUCUCUUUGCUAGACACUUCACGUACAUUCCCUCAUUCAGUCGUUAAUAAUCACCUAAUGAACCCAACGUGAUUUUGUUUUACUGAUGAGAAAAAUGAGGCUAAGUUUAAGUCACAUAGCUUGUAAUGGAUGAGGCUUUAUAGCUGUGGGACUCUAGAGUCCAUCUGAUCAUGUGAUGUAGUUCCAUUCUGGUUUCUGAAGGACAGAGACAUGGAGGAGGUUUGAAAACUGUCUCUUUCCCCUCUUAAAAUUCAGUUUUUCCUUUACUAAAUCCAAAAGAGUAAGUGAAGUGGUCCAAGAAUUUAGCAAUGUAGUCAAGGUCCAUUUGAUUAGGAAGUCUUUAUAUGACUAGAAACAGGAUUGCUUUGGCACAUACAUAAAGACUCUACACAUCCAUCCUCAAAUUUAGCAAUUUGAAGCAGUUAGCUACACGGACAGUUUUGUAUGCAUUGCUAAAUGCAGACACAAAAACUGCAUUUGCAAAAAGAGGAAACCCAGUUAAACUAGGUUGCAAAUUUGGCCCUAAUUUAGCGUAGCAUUUGUGAUACAUAUAGGUUAGAGUGACAUUUAUAUAAUGGUGUGAAAUAUGAGAAAGUUCCAAUGCUAGACACAAAGACUUUUAAAAAUUGCUUUUGCCUACUUUGGUUAGUUUAAGAAACAGGAGGAAGAAUUUGGUUUUUCAAGUGAUGGGAAGCCUUUAAGGAUGUUGGAACACUGUUCAGUCCCCUGGGGUUCUGCCUGCUGUACAAUUUUAAAUGUCUUUUAGCUAAAAAAUUGGCCAACAAGGGAAACACAGAGAUGAAAUAUCUUCUUUCUUAUCUGGAAAGUGAGAAACUAUAGGUGGCUAACAUAAUCCAAUUUUGAUAGUCGAAUAAAUGGUCAGCUUUUGGGGUUAGAAAGUCAUAAUCCUCCUUGUUAAUAUGUCUAUCUAACUGGAGUAACUACCUACCUAUUAGAAUUUAUCUUGGAAAUUUUGUCCUUAUGCUCAGUUGUAGACGUGUUUCAGCUUAAGAAAUACAGCCAAAAAUGAGACUAGAUAAAUAUACCAUGUUUCAUGUAAAUGCUGCUAUCAUGGUACCUGAAACUAUUUCCAUUUCUUCAUUGAAGACCACUGGAGGGCAGUGUUUUCUCCUUUGGGAACAGCACCUGGUUUCACAUGGAGACUGCAUAGAUGUGUUAAAAAGGCAUCUAGGUUACAGGAAAUGAGUUGUACUUCUCAUUCAGGCUGUGCUUGGAAUUUACCCCCUCCUGUUUACGUGUCAUUCAGAUUGUUCCUUAUCAUACUGCCUGUCAAAUUAGUUGUACCUGAAAUCAGAUUCCAAAAGAUCAUGUACAAUACAUAUUUACUGUUUUAAAGCUUUAUAUUCAUUAACUAUUUGAGGCAUUAUGUUAAGUUCAUUUUGCUAAUAUAAAUAGCAAAUAAAAAAGGAUAUAUAAGCAAGAGUAGGCAGUUUUAACCAGAUGCUUUGCACUUAAAAUUUCAAUAUUUCAUUGAUUUUAUUUUCAGUAUAAUUUUAUUACAUAUAAUAUGUAUACAUAUAUUUGUCACCAAAUUAGCAAAUUCACAUUUUCUGGAAAGAACAAAUGAAGACUUUUCCUAGAAGCUUAUUUGUCAUAUCUUAUGAUAUGCCUUGUUCCCUAAGGAUGGUAUGUGGAAAAAUGUUUAAUUUCUUCUAUUUUAAAAAAUGAUCUAUUGCUGAGUAUUAAAUUAUAAAAUUAUACUAAUUUGUGUUUCCAUUAGUUAAAAAAUGAAACUGGAUUACAUAUUAAUUUGGUGUGUCAGGGGUCCAUUUAAUCUUUAUUUAAAGGCAUAUAAUGCAAACUGAAUUCUUUUAAUUAUAAUAGUCGUUUCAUUGUUAAAAAUGAAAAUAUCAUAUAUUUUAGCUCUGUGACUUUGUCCAGCAAAAUACUGCUACUUUUGCAAAAUCAAUAUAUAAUUUUAGUCUAAUGAUUUACUUGAUUUAUUUUUUUCAAUAAAGUGCCCAGAAGCUUACCUGGAACUUGGCCAAAAUAAGGCAGAGCAACUAAUCACUUGAGGAAAAACAUAAAUAACAAUAUCUGUAUCAUAAAUGCUUUUUAAAAGUAUUUCAUUUUUAUAACAUUAUUUCCGAUU
rnacentral:lncRNA from 10 species